AGGCUUGAUCCUGGCUCAGAACGAACGCUGGCGGCGUGCUUUAACACAUGCAAGUCGGAACGAGAAAAGCCCCUUCGGGGUGAGUAAAGUGGCGCACGGGUGAGUAAUGCAUAGGGACGUACCUUUAGGAGGGGGAUAACCACGGGAAACUGUGGCUAAUACCGCGUAAUGUCGAAAGAUCAAAGAUGGCCUCUGCUUGCAAGCUAUCGCCUAAAGAGCGGCCUAUGUCCCAUUAGCUUGUUGGUAGGGUAAUGGCCUACCAAGGUUACGAUGGGUAGCUGGUCUGAGAGGAUGAUCAGCCACACUGGAACUGAGACACGGUCCAGACUCCUACGGGAGGCAGCAGUGGGGAAUAUUGCACAAUGGGCGCAAGCCUGAUGCAGCAACGCCGCGUGAGUGAAGAAGGCCUUCGGGUUGUAAAGCUCUUUCGCCAGGAAAGCAGGGCAAUUAGGUAAACAAUCUAAUUGUCUGACGGUACCUGGAUAAGAAGCACCGGGUA
rnacentral:rRNA from 1 species